UACGUAGGGUGCAAGCGUUGUCCGGAAUUAUUGGGCGUAAAGAGCUCGUAGGCGGCUUGUCGCGUCGGCUGUGAAAACCCGGGGCUCAACCCCGGGCCUGCAGUCGAUACGGGCAGACUAGAGGCAGGUAGGGGAGAACGGAAUUCCCGGUGUAGCGGUGAAAUGCGCAGAUAUCGGGAGGAACACCGGUGGCGAAGGCGGUUCUCUGGGCCUGUACUGACGCUGAGGAGCGAAAGCGUGGGGAGCGAACAGG
rnacentral:rRNA from 1 species